rnacentral:rRNA from 1 species
GACGAACGCUGGCGGCGUGCUUAACACAUGCAAGUCGAACGGAAAGGCCCUGCUUUUGUGGGGUGCUCGAAUGGCGAACGGGUGAGUAACACGUGAGUAACCUGCCCUUGACUUUGGGAUAACUUCAGGAAACUGGGGCUAAUACCGGAUAGGAGCUCCUGCUGCAUGGUGGGGGUUGGAAAGUUUCGGCGGUUGGGGAUGGACUCGCGGCUUAUCAGCUUGUUGGUGGGGUAGUGGCUUACCAAGGCUUUGACGGGUAGCCGGCCUGAGAGGGUGACCGGCCACAUUGGGACUGAGAUACGGCCCAGACUCCUACGGGAGGCAGCAGUGGGGAAUAUUGCACAAUGGGCGGAAGCCUGAUGCAGCAACGCCGCGUGCGGGAUGACGGCCUUCGGGUUGUAAACCGCUUUCGCCUGUGACGAAGCGUGAGUGACGGUAAUGGGUAAAGAAGCACCGGCUAACUACGUGC